rnacentral:tRNA from 1 species
GGGGAUGUAACUUGGCUGGGAGUGCUUGCCUAGCAUGUGAGAGGCCCUGGGUUCAAUCCCAGGCCUCCCCU